UGGGGGAUAUUGCACAAUGGGCGAAAGCCUGAUGCAGCGACGCCGCGUGGGGGAUGAAGGCCUUCGGGUUGUAAACUUCUUUUGCUCUGAACAAGGCGCACCAUGGGGUGUGUUGAGUGUAGUGGUUGAUUAGCGCCGGCUAACUACGUGCCAGCAGCCGCGGUAAUACGUAGGGCGCGAGCGUUGUCCGGAAUUAUUGGGCGUAAAGGGCUUGUAGGUGGCUGGUUGCGUCUGUCGUGAAAGCUCAUGGCUUAACUGUGGGUUUGCGGUGGGUACGGGCUGGCUUGAGUGCAGUAGGGGAGGCUGGAAUUCCUGGUGUAGCGGUGGAAUGCGCAGAUAUCAGGAGGAAUACCGGUGGCGAAGGCGGGUCUCUGGGCUGUUACUGACACUGAGGAGCGAAAGCAUGGGGAGCGAACAGG
rnacentral:rRNA from 1 species